CCUCAUGUUCACAGAGUGGGGGAGGGUGGGGGACGGAUCCCUGAGCUCAGUGUGUCCAUCUCUUUCUCUUUCCAGCCCUGUCUGCCUCUCUCCAGCCCUCUCUCUCUCUCUAGCCCUGUCUCUCUCUCUGGCCCUGUCUCUCUCUCUCUAGCAAUGUCUCUCUCUCUCUCCAGCCCUGUCUCUCUCUCUCUCCAGCCCUCUUUCUCUCCAGCCCUGUUUCUCUCUCUCUCUCUCCAGCCCUGUCUCUCUCUCUCUCUCUCCAGCCCUGUCUCUCUCUCUCUCUCUCCAGCCCUGUCUCUCUCUCUCCAGCCCUGUCUCUCUCUCUCUCUAGCCCUGUCUAUCUCUCUCUCGCCAGCUCUCUCUCUCUCUAGCCCUGUCUCUCUCUCUCUGGCCCUGUCUCUCUCGGUACCUGUGAAGUGUGUUCUGUGUGCCAGGCACCAUUCUAGGUUCUGGACACAGCAGUGGAGUGAAGAGACGACAGUGUUCCUGGGUUCCUCCACUCUGGUCGAGGAUACAGAAAAUAAAAUGAAUAAGCAACUGAAGUCCGAGAGCCGUGGAUUCCUACAAGCAGCCACGUGCCGGGCCUGCACGUGCGGCUUCAGGCGGAGCUGGGGUGCAAGGAGACCAGCGGCGCGGCGCCUUCCCUCGGAGCUGCGGCGAGUGAGCCACAUUCCUGAGUGUGAGCGGGCACCGAUUGUGGCGCAUGCCACGGGGACAAGUGCAGGGUGCUUCAACGAGAAGAGUGUGUGAGAGUUGCCUGUAGCUGACAGCAACAGCGCAUUUCCCUAGACCAGGCACUGGGCUUUAUCCACGAUCUCGUUCAAGCUUUGAGGUCGUUCUUGAAGACUGUCCAUCGUCCCUGAACACUGAUCAAGUGGUCAGAAUGGUCGUCGAAUCUUCCGGCUUUAUCAGUUCUUUAUGUAUUUCGCAGUGUGCACGAUAGACUGGAGGCUUCCUGAAGGCAGGGCUGCCGCAGGUUGCAUGGCUGUGUCCUCAGAGCCUGGCACAUCGCCAGCCCAGAGUUGGCGCUCAACGCGUAUUUGUUGGAUGAAUAAAUUUAGAGGGAAAUUUUAUGCAAAUAUCUAUCUUACUGUCUGGUUAGACAAAACAUUUUUUUGAAUCAACUUUUUAUUUUACAACAAUUUAGGAUUACAGAAAAAUUGCAAAGAUGGUGGAGCGUUCGCAUAUCUCCCACGCCUAGUUUCCCCGUUAUUGACGUCUUCCACUACCGGGUGUGUCUGCACAGUCAAUGAGCCAAGACUGCUAAGUCAUUAUUACUCAUGUCCAUAUUUGAUUCAGUCUUCCUGAGUGCUUGCCCGGUGUCCUUUCUCUGUUCCGGGAUCCCACAUUCUAUGGAGUCAUCACAUCUCCUGACGUCCCUCUUGGAUGUGACAGUUUCUUGGACUUCCCUUGCUUUUGAUGACUGACCAUUUUGAGGAGCGCUUGGCCAGCAUUUUGAGGAAUGUCCCUCAAUUGGGGUUUAUCUGAUGUUUUUCUCUUGACUAGACUAGGGUUAUGGGUUUUUGGGAGGAAGAGCACAGAGAUUGAGUGCCCUUCUCAUGACGUCAUAUCAAGGGUACAUGCUGUCAACAUGCUUAUCGCUGCCGAUGUUGACCUUGGUCACCCGCCCAGACAGUGUCUGCCAGCUGUCUCCUCCGGCAGGAGACUCUCCCACUCUCCUUUUCCACACUCCCCCUUUGGAGGGAAGGUCACCGUGUGCUGUCCGCACUUAAGGAGCGGGGGUCGUGUGCCACUUCCUUGGGAGGAGCCACACAGAUUAUCUGGAAUCUUAUGCAGGAGAUUUGUCUCUUCUUCCUGUUUAUUAAUUUGUGCAAUAAUUCACAUCACUAUGGACUCAUGGGUAUUUAUUUUUACACUUUGCAUCACAACCCAACGCUACUUCAUUUAUUUUGUUCCUCAAAUUGUGCGG
rnacentral:lncRNA from 1 species